GCUUAACACAUGCAAGUCGAGGGGCAGCAUGGUCUUAGCUUGCUAAGGCCGAUGGCGACCGGCGCACGGGUGAGUAACACGUAUCCAACCUGCCGUCUACUCUUGGACGGCCUUCUGAAAGGAAGAUUAAUACAAGAUGGCAUCAUGAGUCCGCAUGUUCACAUGAUUAAAGGUAUUCCGGUAGACGAUGGGGAUGCGUUCCAUUAGAUAGUAGGCGGGGUAACGGCCCACCUAGUCUUCGAUGGAUAGGGGUUCUGAGAGGAAGGUCCCCCACAUUGGAACUGAGACACGGUCCAAACUCCUACGGGAGGCAGCAGUGAGGAAUAUUGGUCAAUGGGCGAGAGCCUGAACCAGCCAAGUAGCGUGAAGGAUGACUGCCCUAUGGGUUGUAAACUUCUUUUAUAAAGGAAUAAAGUCGGGUAUGGAUACCCGUUUGCAUGUACUUUAUGAAUAAGGAUCGGCUAACUCCGUGCCAGCAGCCGCGGUAAUACGGAGGAUCCGAGCGUUAUCCGGAUUUAUUGGGUUUAAAGGGAGCGUAGAUGGAUGUUUAAGUCAGUUGUGAAAGUUUGCGGCUCAACCGUAAAAUUGCAGUUGAUACUGGAUAUCUUGAGUGCAGUUGAGGCAGGCGGAAUUCGUGGUGUAGCGGUGAAAUGCUUAGAUAUCACGAAGAACUCCGAUUGCGAAGGCAGCCUGCUAAGCUGCAACUGACAUUGAGGCUCGAAAGUGUGGGUAUCAAACAGGAUUAGAUACCCUGGUAGUCCACACGGUAAACGAUGAAUACUCGCUGUUUGCGAUAUACAGCAAGCGGCCAAGCGAAAGCGUUAAGUAUUCCACCUGGGGAGUACGCCGGCAACGGUGAAACUCAAAGGAAUUGACGGGGGCCCGCACAAGCGGAGGAACAUGUGGUUUAAUUCGAUGAUACGCGAGGAACCUUACCCGGGCUUAAAUUGCAGAUGAAUUACGGUGAAAGCCGUAAGCCGCAAGGCAUCUGUGAAGGUGCUGCAUGGUUGUCGUCAGCUCGUGCCGUGAGGUGUCGGCUUAAGUGCCAUAACGAGCGCAACCCUUGUUGUCAGUUACUAACAGGUUCCGCUGAGGACUCUGACAAGACUGCCAUCGUAAGAUGUGAGGAAGGUGGGGAUGACGUCAAAUCAGCACGGCCCUUACGUCCGGGGCUACACACGUGUUACAAUGGGGGGUACAGAGGGCCGCUACCACGCGAGUGGAUGCCAAUCCCAAAAACCUCUCUCAGUUCGGACUGGAGUCUGCAACCCGACUCCACGAAGCUGGAUUCGCUAGUAAUCGCGCAUCAGCCACGGCGCGGUGAAUACGUUCCCGGGCCUUGUACACACCGCCCGUCAAGCCAUGGGAGCCGGGGGUACCUGAAGUGCGUAACCGCGAGGAGCGCCCUAGGGUAAAACUGGUGACUGGGGCUAAGUCG
rnacentral:rRNA from 1 species